GGACCGGACGACGUCGGCUGUUUCGGCCGGCGACCACACACACAAACACAAGAGCGCCGACGACACGUUAUGAGCAGCCAUUUGUCAGAAAAUUAUAAUGAACGUGUGCUUCGCACGCACUUGAGCGCAAGACACAAGAGACGCAUCAACGACUUGAGGACCCAAUAAAUCCACUGGGAAUUGUUCUUUCGGCAAGAAACUUUUCAAGAAAA
ensembl:ncRNA K03H4.5 ncRNA